CGGCCGCGUCGACGAACCUUACCAAAUCUUGACAUCGGAGUGACCGCUCUUUAAUCGGAGCUUUCCUUCGGGACACUCCAGACAGGUGGUGCAUGGUUGUCGUCAGCUCGUGUCGUGAGAUGUUGGGUUAAGUCCCGCAACGAGCGCAACCCCUAUUGUUAGUUGCCAUCAUUCAGUUGGGCACUCUAGCGAGACUGCCGGUAAUAAACCGAAGGAAGGUGGGGAUGACGUCAAAUCAUCAUGCCCCUUAUGACCUGGGCUACACACGUGCUACAAUGGUUGGUACAACGAGUUGCGAGUCGGUGACGGCGAGCUAAUCUCUUAAAGCCAAUCUCAGUUCGGACUGUAGGCUGCAACUCGCCUACAUGAAGUCGGAAUCGCUAGUAAUCGCGGAUUAGCAUGCCGCGGUGAAUACGUUCCCGGGCCUUGUACGUCGACGCGGCCG
rnacentral:rRNA from 1 species